UACGGGGGGAGCAAGCGUUGUUCGGAUUUACUGGGCGUAAAGGGCGCGUAGGCGGCCAGCACAAGUCAGUUGUGAAAUCUCCGAGCUUAACUCGGAAAGGUCAACUGAUACUGUGCGGCUAGAGUGCGGAAGGGGCAACUGGAAUUCUUGGUGUAGCGGUGAAAUGCGUAGAUAUCAAGAGGAACACCAGUAGCGAAGGCGGCUCGCUGGGCCGUUCCUGACGCUGAGACGCGAAAGCUAGGGGAGCGAACAGG
rnacentral:rRNA from 1 species